rnacentral:rRNA from 1 species
GACAGAGGGUGCAAGCGUUGUUCGGAAUCACUGGGCGUAAAGCGCGUCUAGGCGGAAACACAAGUCUGGUGUGAAAGCCCGGGGCUUAACCCCGGAAGUGCAUUGGAAACUGUGUAUCUGGAGUCUCGGAGAGGGUGGUGGAAUUCCCAGUGUAGAGGUGAAAUUCGUAGAUAUUGGGAGGAACACCGGUGGCGAAGGCGACCACCUGGACGAUGACUGACGCUGAAGCGCGAAAGCGUGGGGAU